rnacentral:rRNA from 1 species
UAUGACAGUGGAGAGUUUGAUCCUGGCUCAGGAUGAACGCUAGCGAUAGGCUUAACACAUGCAAGUCGAGGGGCAGCAUGAUCUUAGCUUGCUAAGGUUGAUGGCGACCGGCGCACGGGUGCGUAACGCGUAUGCAACUUGCCUUACAGAGGGGGAUAACCCGUUGAAAGACGGACUAAAACCGCAUACACUUGUAUUAUUGCAUGAUAUUACAAGGAAAUAUUUAUAGCUGUAAGAUAGGCAUGCGUCCCAUUAGCUAGUUGGUGAGGUAACGGCUCACCAAGGCGACGAUGGGUAGGGGAACUGAGAGGUUUAUCCCCCACACUGGUACUGAGACACGGACCAGACUCCUACGGGAGGCAGCAGUGAGGAAUAUUGGUCAAUGGGCGAGAGCCUGAACCAGCCAAGUCGCGUGAAGGAAGACUGUCCUAAGGAUUGUAAACUUCUUUUAUACGGGAAUAACUGGCGAUACGAGUAUUGCAUUGAAUGUACCGUAAGAAUAAGCAUCGGCUAACUCCGUGCCAGCAGCCGCGGUAAUACGGAGGAUGCGAGCGUUAUCCGGAUUUAUUGGGUUUAAAGGGUGCGUAGGUUGUUCGGUAAGUCAGCGGUGAAAACUGAGCGCUCAACGUUCAGCCUGCCGUUGAAACUGCCGGGCUUGAGUUCAGCGGCGGCAGGCGGAAUUCGUGGUGUAGCGGUGAAAUGCAUAGAUAUCACGAGGAACUCCGAUUGCGAAGGCAGCUUGCCAUACUGCGACUGACACUGAAGCACGAAGGCGUGGGUAUCAAACAGGAUUAGAUACCCUGGUAGUCCACGCAGUAAACGAUGAUUACUAGGAGUUUGCGAUAUACCGUCAAGCUUCCACAGCGAAAGCGUUAAGUAAUCCACCUGGGGAGUACGCCGGCAACGGUGAAACUCAAAGGAAUUGACGGGGGCCCGCACAAGCGGAGGAACAUGUGGUUUAAUUCGAUGAUACGCGAGGAACCUUACCCGGGAUUGAAAUGUAGAUGACGGAUGGUGAAAACCGUCUUCCCUUCGGGGCUUCUAUGUAGGUGCUGCAUGGUUGUCGUCAGCUCGUGCCGUGAGGUGUCGGCUUAAGUGCCAUAACGAGCGCAACCCACAUCGGUAGUUGCUAACAGUUUUCGCUGAGGACUCUACCGAGACUGCCGUCGUAAGGCGUGAGGAAGGUGUGGAUGACGUCAAAUCAGCACGGCCCUUACAUCCGGGGCGACACACGUGUUACAAUGGGAGGGACAAAGGGCAGCUACCGGGCGACCGGAUGCGAAUCUCUAAACCCUUCCCCAGUUCGGAUCGGAGUCUGCAACUCGACUCCGUGAAGCUGGAUUCGCUAGUAAUCGCGCAUCAGCCAUGGCGCGGUGAAUACGUUCCCGGGCCUUGUACACACCGCCCGUCAAGCCAUGGGAGUCGGGGGUACCUGAAGGGCGUAACCGCAAGGGGCGCACUAGGGUAAUACCGGUGACUGGGGCUAAGUCGUAACAAGGUAGCCGUACCGGAAGGUGCGGCUGGAACACCUCCUUUCUGGAG